rnacentral:rRNA from 1 species
AGUGAACGCUGGCGGUAGGCCUAACACAUGCAAGUCGAACGGCAGCACAGUAAGAGCUUGCUCUUACGGGUGGCGAGUGGCGGACGGGUGAGGAAUACAUCGGAAUCUACUUUUUCGUGGGGGAUAACGUAGGGAAACUUACGCUAAUACCGCAUACGACCUACGGGUGAAAGCAGGGGAUCUUCGGACCUUGCGCGAUUGAAUGAGCCGAUGUCUGAUUAGCUAGUUGGCGGGGUAAAGGCCCACCAAGGCGACGAUCCGUAGCUGGUCUGAGAGGAUGAUCAGCCACACUGGAACUGAGACACGGUCCAGACUCCUACGGGAGGCAGCAGUGGGGAAUAUUGGGCAAUGGGCGCAAGCCUGAUCCAGCCAUACCGCGUGGGUGAAGAAGGCCUUCGGGUUGUAAAGCCCUUUUGUUGGGAAAGAAAAGCAGCAGGUUAAUACCCCGCUGUUCUGACGGUACCCAAAGAAUAAGCACCGGCUAACUUCGUG